rnacentral:misc_RNA from 1 species
CCCCAAUGUAUCUGUCUCUCCCUCUUUCUCCUCUCUAGCUCCUUCCUUCUCUUCUCCAAGGAUGGAGGCGCUACCGUCGAUGUGGCUCCCGAUGACCAUGUCGCUUCGGCUGCUGCGACCAUACUGCCGUUCCUUCGGAAAAGAAGGAUCUACGUACGAGAUGCUCCGAUGACCGAUCCCGAAUUGCACACGAAAUUGAGGAUAUCUACCCGUGGUAUUUCUUCAUAUUCAAUCGGUGCUGUUUCUCCUGACAAAGCCAAACUAUAAUGCGGUGGAUUAAUCGACUGACAGACUAUAAUGGGACCUUUGUUACGUGGCAAGUCUUUACCAGCUCUAGCUGUAUACCUAGAGGUAAAAGCUCGAGCAUCUGGUUGAUCUAGUGGAGCUUCCAAUUGAGUAUCCAUAUAAGAAGAAACUAAGUGCAUCACUAU